AACCAAUGGAAGAACAUGCUGCCUGGUAAGUAGUAGAUACAGGCGCAUUGCCGAAGGCGCAACACCCGUAACCGCUCAGGCUCAAGAACUGUUGGCACAGG
rnacentral:ncRNA from 1 species